rnacentral:rRNA from 1 species
AAUAAUACUACUCAUCAUUAAGCGUUUGAAAAUCUAGACCUUAAUAUAUAUAUAUAUACGUUUUACAUGAUUAUGUGUUCGUGUUUUUUGUUUUUCAUGUUUUUUUUAUUUUUUCAUGUUUUACUUUUCACGGUUCACGUUUUUCAUGGUUUUUCGUUCAAAUUAUUAAUAAAAUUUUAUUUUUUAAAUAAAAUAUAGUUGUUUAAUUCUUCAACUUAAUUUGAAAUUUUUGUAUUAUUAAUUAUUUAAUUUUAAUAAAUUGAUUUAAUAAAAAUAUUUUUUAUUUUUUUAUUUUUAGUAUUAUUUAAAGAAAAAAUUUUUUUAUUUAUAGUAUAAUUGUAUAUUGAUAGAAAUUUGAAAAAAAUUGAAAAAAUAAUUUUUAAAAAAGUAUAUUUUAUGUAUAGUACCUUGUGUAUCAGGGUUAAUUAAAAAAAUUGUAUUUAUAUAAUAUUUUUCUCGAAUUUAAAAGAUCUAUUUAAUAAAAUUAUUUUUAAUGUUUAAUAAUUAUUUUUAAUUUUUAAAUAGAAAUGAAAUGUUUUUCGUUUUUAAAGUUAUCUAGUUUUUUAAUAAAUAAAUUUAAUUUAGAUAUUUUAAUAACUAAUUAUUUUAAUUAAUUAAAAUAAUUAGUUAAAAUAUUAAAGUUUUAAGGGAUUAGCUUUAAUUCUUAAUUUUAUAAUUAAUUAAAAUUAAUUUAUAAAUUAUAUUUAGGCUUAGUAAUAGCUUUAAUUUAAAAAUUGUAAUAAUUUUAUAAUUUAUAUAUAUAUAUAUAUAUUAAUUUAUAUAAAUUUAAUAUUAAUUUAAUUUUAUAUUAAAAUAAAUUAAUUAAUAAAGUUUUAAUUUAAAUUAUGAUUAAAUUAGUAAAUAUUUAAAAUUAAUUAUUUUAUAAAAUGAAAGUUAAUUAAAAGGAACUAAGCAAUAAUUUAUCUCGCCUGUUUAACAAAAACAUGUCUUUUUGAUUUUUAUAUAAAGUCUGAUCUGCUCAAUGAAAUUUUUAAAUAGCCGCAGUAUUCUGACUGUGCAAAGGUAGCAUAAUAAUUUGUUCUUUAAUUGUGGACUAGAAUGAAAGAUUUGACGAGGUUAAAUCUGUCUUUUAAUUAUUAAUUAUUGAAUUUAAUUUUUAAGUUAAAAAGCUUAAAUAUUAUUAAAGGACGAGAAGACCCUAUAGAGUUUUAUAAUUUAUAUGUAUUUGUAUAUAAAUAUUUUUUAUGUAAAUAUAUAAAAUUAUUUUAUUGGGGUGAUAAUUAAAUUUAAUUAACUUUAUAUAAAAUAAUAAUACAUUUAUUAAUGAUUUUAUGAUCCUAAAAUUUAGAUUAUUAGAUUAAAUUACCUUAGGGAUAACAGCGUUAUUUUUUUUUAAGUUCUUAUUAACAUUAAAAAUUGCGACCUCGAUGUUGGAUUAAAAUUUAUUUUAGGUGUAGAAGCUUAAUAUUUAAGUCUGUUCGACUUUUAAAAUUUUACAUGAUCUGAGUUCAAACCGGUUUAAGCCAGGUUGGUUUCUAUCCUUAAUUUAUAUUAAAUUUUUAGUACGAGAGGACCAAAAUUUAAAAUUAUUUUUAUUUUUUUAUUGAAUAUUAUUAAAUUUUUA